UGGCUCAGUGGUAAAGAAUCUGCCUGCAAUGCAGAAGACCUGGGUUCAAUCCCUG
rnacentral:tRNA from 1 species